ACAGAGGGUGCAAGCGUUAAUCGGAAUUACUGGGCGUAAAGCGCGCGUAGGCGGUUGUGUAAGUUGGAUGUGAAAUCCCCGGGCUUAACCUGGGCACUGCAUUCAAAACUGCACGGCUAGAGUAUGGGAGAGGAAGGUAGAAUUCCAGGUGUAGCGGUGAAAUGCGUAGAGAUCUGGAGGAACACCGGUGGCGAAGGCGGGUCUCUGGGCCGAUACUGACGCUGAGGAGCGAAAGCGUGGGGAGCGAACAGGA
rnacentral:rRNA from 1 species